rnacentral:rRNA from 1 species
UGGCUCAGGAUGAACGCUGGCGGUGUGCCUAACACAUGCAAGUCGAACGAGAAGCCUCCUUCGGGAGGUGGACAGUGGCGAACGGGUGAGUAACACGUAGCUAUCUGCCCUGAAGAGGGGGACAACAUCUGGAAACAGGUGCUAAUACCCCAUGACCUUCUACGGAAGGAAAGCUCAGGCGCUUCAGGAUGAGGUUGCGGCCCAUCAGCUAGUUGGUAAGGUAAAAGCUUACCAAGGCGACGACGGGUAGGGGACCUGAGAGGGUGACCCCCCACACUGGGACUGAGACACGGCCCAGACUCCUACGGGAGGCAGCAGUGAGGAAUCUUGCCCAAUGGACGAAAGUCUGAGGCAGCGACACCGCGUGGGCGAAGAAGGUUUUCGGAUCGUAAAGCCCUUUUCUGUGUGACGAGAACGGACGGUAGCACAGGAAUAAGUCUCGGCUAACUACGUGCCAGCAGCCGCGGUAAAACGUAGGAGGCAAGCGUUAUCCGGAGUUACUGGGCGUAAAGCGCGCGCAGGCGGAUGGUUAAGUCGUUUAUGAAAGCUCCCGGCUAAACUGGGAGAGGAUGAACGAAACUGGCGAUCUAGAGGGCAGGAGAGGAAGGUAGAAUUCCGCGUGUAGUGGUGAAAUGCGUAGAUAUGCGGAAGAAUACCAGUGGCGAAGGCGGCCUUCUGGCCUGCACCUGACGCUGAGGCGCGAAAGCAUGGGUAGCGAACGGGGUUAGAAACCCCGGUAGUCCAUGCCGUAAACGAUGUUCACUAGACGUUCGUGUUGCUACGGCGGCAUGGGUGUCGAAGCUAACGCGUUAAGUGAACCGCCUGGGGAGUACGAUCGCAAGGUUAAAACUCAAAGGAAUUGACGGGGACCCGCACAAGCAGCGGAGCGUGUGGUUUAAUUCGAGGCUACGCGAAGAACCUUACCUGGAUUUGACAUCCCUCGACCACCUGUGAAAGCAGGUUUCCCUUCGGGGCGAGGAGACAGGUGCUGCAUGGCUGUCGUCAGCUCGUGCCGUGAGGUGUUCGGUUAAGUCCGCAAACGAGCGCAACCCUUAGUGCUAGUUAUACGUGUCUAGCGCGACUGCCCGUGGCAAACGGGAGGAAGGUGGGGAUGACGUCAAGUCAGCAUGGCCUUUAUGUCCAGGGCUACACACACGCUACAAUGGCGCAUACAAUGGGUCGCGAAACCGCGAGGUGAAGCCAAUCCCGUAAAGUGCGUCUCAGUUCGGAUUGUAGGCUGCAACUCGCCUGCAUGAAGUCGGAGUUGCUAGUAACCGCGUAUCAGCACGGCGCGGUGAAUACGUUCCCGGGUCUUGUACACACCGCCCGUCACGUCAUGGAAGUUGGUCACGCACUGAAGUCGNGGAAGCUAACCUAACGGAGGCUACUGCCGAGGGCAGGACUGAUGACUGGGACGAAGU